rnacentral:rRNA from 1 species
CCUAAUACAUGCAAGUCGAACGCUUCUUUCCUCCCGAGUGCUUGCACUCAAUUGGAAAGAGGAGUGGCGGACGGGUGAGUAACACGUGGGUAACCUACCCAUCAGAGGGGGAUAACACUUGGAAACAGGUGCUAAUACCGCAUAACAGUUUAUGCGCGCAUGGCAUAAGAGUGAAAGGCGCUUUCGGGUGUCGCUGAUGGAUGGACCCGCGGUGCAUUAGCUAGUUGGUGAGGUAACGGCUCACCAAGGCCACGAUGCAUAGCCGACCUGAGAGGGUGAUCGGCCACACUGGGACUGAGACACGGCCCAGACUCCUACGGGAGGCAGCAGUAGGGAAUCUUCGGCAAUGGACGAAAGUGUGGAGCGAGCAACGCCGCGUGAGUGAAGAAGGUUUUCGGAUCGUAAAACUCUGUUGUUAGAGAAGAACAAGGACGUUAGUAACUGACCGCCCCCCCCGCCGGUAUCUAACCAGAAAGCCACGGCUAACUACGUGCCAGCAGCCG